UAACACCAGCGCCACAAGUGGCGAUCAUGAUUAUUGGGCCUAAAGCGUUCGUAGCCGGUUUGAUAAAUUUUUUGUGAAACUGUCUGGCUCAACCAGACAUCGUGCAAGAAAGACUGUCAAACUUGAGACCGGGAGGAGCUAGGAGUAUUCAUGGGGGAGCGGUAAAAUGUUAUAAUCCCUUGAGGACUACCUGUGGCGAAGGCGCCUAGCUAGGACGGAUCUGACGGUGAGGGACGAAAGCCAGGGGAGCAAUCCGGAUUAGAUACCCGAGUAGUCCUGGCCGUAAACGCUGUGAGUUAGGUGUUGCACAUACUUCGAGUAUGUGCAGUGUCGAAGCGAAGGUGUUAAACUCACCGCCUGGGAAGUACGGUCGCAAGACUG
rnacentral:rRNA from 1 species